rnacentral:rRNA from 1 species
GACGAACGCUGGCGGCGUGCUUAACACAUGCAAGUCGAGCGAGAAUCUACUGAAAGAGUUUUCGGACAAUGGAUGUAGAGGAAAGUGGCGGACGGGUGAGUAACGCGUGAGGAACCUGCCUUGAAGAGGGGGACAACAGUUGGAAACGACUGCUAAUACCGCAUGAAGCAUAGGGGUCGCAUGAUUCUUAUGCCAAAGAUUUAUCUCUUCAAGAUGGCCUCGCGUCUGAUUAGCUAGUUGGCGGGGUAACGGCCCACCAAGGCGACGAUCAGUAGCCGGACUGAGAAGGUGAACCGCCACAUUGAGACUGGGAUACGGACCAGACUCCUACGGGGGGCAGCAGGUGGGAAUAUUGGGCAAUUGGCCACAAGCCUGAUCCAGCAAUUCUGUGUGCACGAUGAAGGUCUUCGGAUUGUAAAGUGCUUUCAGUUGGGAAGAAGAAAGUGACGGUACCAACAGAAGAAGCGACGGCUAAAUACGUGCCAGCCGCCGCGGUAA